rnacentral:rRNA from 1 species
UACGUAAGCUCCGAGCGUUGUCCGGAAUCAUUGGGCGUAAAGGGUACGUAGGCGGAUAAGCAAGUUAGAAGUGAAAUCCUAGAGCUCAACUCGAGUAAGCUUUUAAAACUGGUCAUCUUGAGGUAUGGAAGGGAAAGUGGAAUUCCUAGUGUAGCGGUGAAAUGCGUAGAGAUGUGGAGGAAUACCGGUGGCGAAGGCGGCUCCCUGGAC